UGUUCGGACUUUCCGCCUUUAAACUAUUCAAUUUGUCUCGUGUUACCAUCGUACGUGCUGGGACCAUGAUCGGUCAUUCUAAAGUGAUGCACUUCAAGCUGGGUGACAACUGGCACAUUCCACGUCAACGGGUAACACGCAGAAUGGAAGGGACAUCAAACAACCACCGAAAAGAGCAAGCUAUAGCCCCUCUGAGUAGCACUCUUCCUUAUUGGUUUCAAUGACA